GCGGCGUGCCUAAUACAUGCAAGUAGAACGCUGAAGGAGGAGCUUGCUCUUCUGGAUGAGUUGCGAACGGGUGAGUAACGCGUAGGUAACCUGCCUGGUAGCGGGGGAUAACUAUUGGAAACGAUAGCUAAUACCGCAUAAGAGUAGAUGUUGCAUGACAUUUGCUUAAAAGGUGCAAUUGCAUCACUACCAGAUGGACCUGCGUUGUAUUAGCUAGUUGGUGGGGUAACGGCUCACCAAGGCGACGAUACAUAGCCGACCUGAGAGGGUGAUCGGCCACACUGGGACUGAGACACGGCCCAGACUCCUACGGGAGGCAGCAGUAGGGAAUCUUCGGCAAUGGACGGAAGUCUGACCGAGCAACGCCGCGUGAGUGAAGAAGGUUUUCGGAUCGUAAAGCUCUGUUGUAAGAGAAGAACGAGUGUGAGAGUGGAAAGUUCACACUGU
rnacentral:rRNA from 1 species